GGGUUGUGAGGUUAAGCGACUAAGCGUACACGGUGGAUGCCCUGGCAGUCAGAGGCGAUGAAGGACGUGCUAAUCUGCGAUAAGCGUCGGUAAGGUGAUAUGAACCGUUAUAACCGGCGAUUUCCGAAUGGGGAAACCCAGUGUGAUUCGUCACACUAUCAUUAACUGAAUCCAUAGGUUAAUGAGGCGAACCGGGGGAACUGAAACAUCUAAGUACCCCGAGGAAAAGAAAUCAACCGAGAUUCCCCCAGUAGCGGCGAGCGAACGGGGAGCAGCCCAGAGCCUGAAUCAGUGUGUGUGUUAGUGGAAGCGUCUGGAAAGGCGCGCGAUACAGGGUGACAGCCCCGUACACAAAAAUGCACAUACUGUGAGCUCGAUGAGUAGGGCGGGACACGUGGUAUCCUGUCUGAAUAUGGGGGGACCAUCCUCCAAGGCUAAAUACUCCUGACUGACCGAUAGUGAACCAGUACCGUGAGGGAAAGGCGAAAAGAACCCCGGCGAGGGGAGUGAAAAAGAACCUGAAACCGUGUACGUACAAGCAGUGGGAGCACGCUUAGGCGUGUGACUGCGUACCUUUUGUAUAAUGGGUCAGCGACUUAUAUUCUGUAGCAAGGUUAACCGAAUAGGGGAGCCGAAGGGAAACCGAGUCUUAACUGGGCGUUAAGUUGCAGGGUAUAGACCCGAAACCCGGUGAUCUAGCCAUGGGCAGGUUGAAGGUUGGGUAACACUAACUGGAGGACCGAACCGACUAAUGUUGAAAAAUUAGCGGAUGACUUGUGGCUGGGGGUGAAAGGCCAAUCAAACCGGGAGAUAGCUGGUUCUCCCCGAAAGCUAUUUAGGUAGCGCCUCGUGAAUUCAUCUCCGGGGGUAGAGCACUGUUUCGGCAAGGGGGUCAUCCCGACUUACCAACCCGAUGCAAACUGCGAAUACCGGAGAAUGUUAUCACGGGAGACACACGGCGGGUGCUAACGUCCGUCGUGAAGAGGGAAACAACCCAGACCGCCAGCUAAGGUCCCAAAGUCAUGGUUAAGUGGGAAACGAUGUGGGAAGGCCCAGACAGCCAGGAUGUUGGCUUAGAAGCAGCCAUCAUUUAAAGAAAGCGUAAUAGCUCACUGGUCGAGUCGGCCUGCGCGGAAGAUGUAACGGGGCUAAACCAUGCACCGAAGCUGCGGCAGCGACGCUGAUGCGUUGUUGGGUAGGGGAGCGUUCUGUAAGCCUGCGAAGGUGUGCUGUGAGGCAUGCUGGAGGUAUCAGAAGUGCGAAUGCUGACAUAAGUAACGAUAAAGCGGGUGAAAAGCCCGCUCGCCGGAAGACCAAGGGUUCCUGUCCAACGUUAAUCGGGGCAGGGUGAGUCGACCCCUAAGGCGAGGCCGAAAGGCGUAGUCGAUGGGAAACAGGUUAAUAUUCCUGUACUUGGUGUUACUGCGAAGGGGGGACGGAGAAGGCUAUGUUGGCCGGGCGACGGUUGUCCCGGUUUAAGCGUGUAGGCUGGUUUUCCAGGCAAAUCCGGAAAAUCAAGGCUGAGGCGUGAUGACGAGGCACUACGGUGCUGAAGCAACAAAUGCCCUGCUUCCAGGAAAAGCCUCUAAGCAUCAGGUAACAUCAAAUCGUACCCCAAACCGACACAGGUGGUCAGGUAGAGAAUACCAAGGCGCUUGAGAGAACUCGGGUGAAGGAACUAGGCAAAAUGGUGCCGUAACUUCGGGAGAAGGCACGCUGAUAUGUAGGUGAAGUCCCUCGCGGAUGGAGCUGAAAUCAGUCGAAGAUACCAGCUGGCUGCAACUGUUUAUUAAAAACACAGCACUGUGCAAACACGAAAGUGGACGUAUACGGUGUGACGCCUGCCCGGUGCCGGAAGGUUAAUUGAUGGGGUCAGCGCAAGCGAAGCUCUUGAUCGAAGCCCCGGUAAACGGCGGCCGUAACUAUAACGGUCCUAAGGUAGCGAAAUUCCUUGUCGGGUAAGUUCCGACCUGCACGAAUGGCGUAAUGAUGGCCAGGCUGUCUCCACCCGAGACUCAGUGAAAUUGAACUCGCUGUGAAGAUGCAGUGUACCCGCGGCAAGACGGAAAGACCCCGUGAACCUUUACUAUAGCUUGACACUGAACAUUGAGCCUUGAUGUGUAGGAUAGGUGGGAGGCUUUGAAGUGUGGACGCCAGUCUGCAUGGAGCCG
rnacentral:rRNA from 1 species